GCCAGUGUGGUAUAGUGGUUUGGGCACUGGACCAUGACUUUGGAGACCAGGGUUUGAAUCCCUGCUUGGGCA